CACAAACAUCAUCUAUCCGCCACCGAUCACUCCCUGCACGCUCACAACCUCAUCACACAGAGAGAAGAGAGAUCAAGAAGAAGAAGAAGAAGCCAUGGCGGGCGAGAAGAAGGGCCUGCAGCUGCUGGACUUCUGGGUGAGCCCGUUCGGGCAGCGGUGCCGCAUCGCGCUGGCCGAGAAGGGCCUCCCCUACGAGUACCUGGAACAGGACCUGAGCAACAAGAGCGAGCUCCUCCUCCGCUCCAACCCCAUCCACAAGAAGAUCCCCGUGCUCCUCCACGACGGCCGCCCCGUCUGCGAGUCCCUCAUCAUCGUCCAGUACAUCGACGAGGCGUUCCCGGGGCAGGGCGCGCCGCUGCUCCCCGCCGACCCCUACGCGCGCGCGCAGGCCAGGUUCUGGGCCGACUACGUGGACAAGAAGGUCUACGACUGCGGGUCCCGGCUGUGGAAGCUCAAGGGCGAGGCCCAGCAGCAGGCGAGGAAGGAGAUGGUCGAGAUCCUCAAGACGCUGGAGGGCGCGCUCGGCGACGGCAAGUUCUUCGGCGGCGAGGCGUUCGGCUUCCUCGACGUCGCGUUCGUGCCCUUCACGGCGUGGUUCCUCACCUACGAGAGGUACGGGGAGUUCAGCGUGGAGGAGGAGUGCCCCAGGCUGGCGGCGUGGGCCAAGCGCUGCGCGGAGAGGGAGAGCGUCGCCAAGAACCUCUACCCGCCGGAGAAGGUCUACGAGUUCGUCGGCGGCAUGAAGAAGAGGCUCGGCAUCGAGUAGUGGGGAUCGAUGAGGAGUGAUGAAGGUUGCAGGUUCCAGUUGCAGCUGCUUCGCAUGUAGACGCGUGAUUGUGUUGUAGUGCUGCGUCAUUGGGUUGGUGUUGGUGGUGGCGUCUGUGAUGCAUGGACGCUCCUGUUCGUACGUGUCUUCGUUGUCGGUUGAGUUGUUUGUGUCAUUGGCGUGAGUCCGUGUUCGGUGUCCCGAUCCCGAAAAUGGCCUCCUGCACUCUAGCGUCCUGU
rnacentral:lncRNA from 1 species